UCCUUUUCUUUCUUUCAUGUUUUGAGACAGGGUCUUGCUACACAGCCAGGGACUCACAACGAUCCUUCUGUCUCAGGGUUCCAAGUGCUGUGGUUAUAACCACAUGCCACCGUGCCUGGUUAGAGUUUCUUAUUUCUUACACAUUUUUUUUUAACUAGCAUUUCUUUAUUUUAGUGUGUACGCAUAUGGGCACACACAUGGCUGACGUGUGGAAGUCAGAGGGUAACUUUCAGGCUUCCGUUAUCUCCUUCCAUAAAGUUAGGCCCGGGGAUUAGAGGUGGCCCCUCAGGUUUGGCAGCGAGUGCCUUUGCCCACUGAGCUGUCUUGCCAGCCAAAGUCUUGAGGAACAAAUUAUAAUCUCUGAUUGAAGAGGAAUCCAGGGCAAAGGUUGGCAAACUGAAUUUCCCUGGGGAUAAGCUGAGACUCACACCUUGUGCUGUCCCUUUUCUUAUUGCCCAAGCCUGGAAGGAAAAGGCUUUCCAAACUGUCUAGGGUCUGGUCCCUUCAUCCCUUGUCUUUAGGAUAAUGAUGGCCAGAGCACCAUUCUUGGUGCUGCUUCAGGGAGACCUGUUAUCCCAUGAUCCUCCUCAUCUAGGAGAAAUCUAAAGGAAUGACUCCAGAAGUGGAGGCAGGGUGAUGCUGAGUGUAGGCUAUGGGGCGCUGCUUUGGAGAGAUGGUGAGUUGAGUUUCUCUUAGUUGUCAUUUGCUAGAAAGUGCUCCUGCCAAGGAGAAUUCCUUCCUCUGUGAAUAGUUCAGUGUGCAGAUUCCAGGGUCAGAGAGGCCAUGGUGAGCCCUCCCACGCCCACCUCCCUCCUUGGCCUGACUCUACUUCCCAUUUAUUUAUUUAUUUAUUUAUUUAUUUAUUUAUUUAUUUAUUUAUUUUCAAACUCCCCUGACGGUAAAUUCAGGUCACCCCAGAAGAGCUGGACUCACUCCUGACCCCUGAGCCAGUUACAGAGCCUGACACGAAGCAGGUGCUCAGGCUAGCUCAGGCUAACUCAGGCUAGCUCAUGACAUGGCCUCUGAAAUCUGUGGUUCUAGACAAUGCUGACCAAAGCCACCACUGUGUAACUAGGUAACAGACUCACCCAGGAGUGGGUGGUACCUGGGGUCAGAUCUUUGUGGGGUCACUUUUUUUUUUUUUGCUCUGUUUUGUUUUGAGUCAGGGUCUGGUUAUGCAGCCAUGGCUAGCUUACUUGCUGUGCAGAACAGAUAGGCCACCAACUUCUGGUGAUUGUCCUGACUCUGUUUCCUGAGUCGAGGGGUAAUGGGUCUGCAUUGCCAUGUUGGGCUCCUGAAGUCACCUUCAACUCUACCUUGAGGAUGCCUGGGAAAUACUGAAGUCUGCCAGAGGCCCAUCCAUGAUAUUACCAAACUCCAUGACUUACAUUUGACCCCCAGGUCCCCGUGGGGGAAGGAGAGAACACGCUCCAUCAGGUCACCCUCUGACCUCUGGACACAAGUGUGCUCACACUCGUAAACACAGUAAGUGCAUAAACAAACACAUAUCUAACAAUGAUUUUUAACACAUUAGGUGGAGUUGGCCUUGGGGUACUGCUAAAGCUGGGAGAGGCAGGGAAGUUGGGUUAACAGACAGGGCUCUGAAGCCACUCUAGACCUCAGAGCUAUCUGGGAAGCUGGGAGAGGUCAGGGGACAGCAGGGUGACUAGAUGGAAUGUCUUUUAAAAUUUAAACGGAAAAGCUCUGUGAUAUAGGCUGGCCUUAAACCUAUGGCAAUUCUCCUGCCUCAGCCUCCCUGCGGCUAGUAUUACAGGUAUAUGCCACCAUACCCAAUGGGUCACUAGGAUAUUUAGGCAUUAGAAGAAAUCAUGUGCAUGAGUAUGUACCAGGCAGUGUAGCACACACCUUUAGCUAAGGCUACAUAAUAGAUAGAUCCCGUCUCAAAAAAUAAUAGGUAAAUAAAAUAAUAAAAAAUUUAAAGAGACUAUGCUUUGUAAAGAAAAUAAAGGUUCCCUUCACCCAGUGGGUUUUUGUCACUGUGACAGCCUUUCUGUGUUGCUGCUUCCUGUACCUUUGUAUUCAGACGGCAUUGACACAGGUCUCCAGUAAAUUCCCAACUCACCUGAGUCACUUGGCAGAAACAAGUUUUUAUGUCAACUCACAAACCGACCCGUGUAAGCCCUCCGACAAACAGUGCGUGUUAUUGCAAAGGCAGCUAGCCAACAAGGGAAGCAGUCAGCGGCCCUUUCUCUGGUUUGUCACGGACACAUCUGCCGACCUGCACUUGGCAUUCAAGAUAAGAUCACGCAUGCCCGAAACUUCCCUCUCGAGGGAGAAGCAGGAAGGGCAGGUGGGCUAUUGCUGAGACGAGGAGGGAGGUGACCACUUAGGAUCAAAUAGCAGCUACCAUUUUCUCGAUGCUGCCUGUGUGCCUUUGUCCGGCUCUGAGUCUCUGACAUAGGGGCCCCUGAGCUGCAGAUACCUCCUACAGAGGAGGAAGUUCACACUGAGGAACAGAGGUGUCUUGCAGGAUCCUGAAGCCCACAUUGCUGGCUUUAGACCUUCCCCAGCAUCAGGGUCCACUGGUGAAUAUGAAUAUAUGGUGAAUAUGAAAAUAUGAAUUUCAAGAAUACCACCGUAUCCCUUUUAUCCCCAAGGACACUGUGCACUGAUGAUCUAAUGAUGCUGAUUCAUUUAUUCUUUCAAAAUCAUGUUAUUGAGAGCUUACUCCACAAUUGGCAAAGAGGAAGGAGAAAGUAGUGGAGAGGCCAGGGAGGGACGCAGAAAUGGGCACCGCCAAAACCUAGGCUCUGCCCAGGAGCAGAUCAGCUUGCUUGGUGGCUAAUAGCACCAGGGACAGAGGGGUCUAUAAACACUGGGCGGAGAUGGGGGAGGGGCGGGAGCGCGCCGGGGCGGGGCGGGAGCGGGCCGGAGCAGGGAAGGAGUCUCGCUUUCUUAUUUAUUACCUUUGGGCUCUCAAAUGCGCGACUACCAGGCACAAGUGACAAAAUAAAAAGGGAAAGGAAAAAAUGCCAGCUCCAGCCCGAAUAAAAUCAGGGCAAAUAGAAUAAAACCUGACAGCCAAGUAUAAAUAAAUAUUCGUAAAAGAGUUAAAGGACAGAUUAAAAUAAAAACACCACAUGCAAUUCUUACCCCUUGACAAAUGCAGGGCGAAUUGGGUUCUUUUAAUCAAAUGUUUGGCAGGUGUAUGAAUUAUUUAUAAUUCAAUAUCGGGUGGUUAAAUGGAAAAUGGAAGAUGUUCCUGUGGUCUUCUCAGAGCUUAUCCCCUCCCCUGUGAGUUUCCCCGCCCUGGGGGAGGGAGAGCGGAGUGGGUGGGAGCCGAGAGCCCGCCCUUCCCCCACACCAGGUGCGGGGCUGAGCCUGGAAUCCCUGCCCACUGCUGGGCAUCAUCAUUUGCCAAUCCACUCCCCAGUCACCAGCCCUACAGCUGGGGGUCUCGAUCCAGAGGGAGGCCCUGCGGUGUUGCAGGCGGGAGUAGGGGGCACUUGACCAGGUGCAUGAGAACUGGGGUGCAAGAGAUGCGGUGACGGUGUCUGCUUUCCAGGGUUGUCCAGCCAUGUGCUCCAGUCCAACUUUGCCCUUUCCUGGACCCUCCCCCUCCAGCAAGCUUCCCCAUUAUGCUCUCUUACUUCUCCCAGUCACGUUCCGUUUGUUUAGAGUGCAAUGCAGCGUGUGGCUCUCAUCACACCAGGCCACCGGAAGAAGCACAGAUGCAAAGUGAGACUCAGAGGGAAACCGGGUGUCUGUGCAGGUCAUGCGGGGGGGGGGGGGGCGGCGGCACCAAACCCUGUGUGAUCUGGCCUCUUUACCUAACCUCUCUGGAUCUCCACUCCAUCAUCUAUAUACUGGGCUAAUGUGACAAUAGAGUCACUGGGCAGAGAGAGUCUGCCUUCUGCAGCAGCCACGCCACAGUUAUUACCAUGGCUACAAGAUAGCCCACCCAUUUGACAGAUCAAGAGACAGAGGCUUGGAGAAGGGGAAGGACUUGCUUACAGUAACUUGGCCUAUGAACAACUGGGAACCCGGGCGCCUAGGAGCAUGGCAGACUAGCGUCCUAGGGAGUCCCUUUGCAGAGUCAGAGUUUGGGGACCGUCUACCCUGUGUCCUGCCUCUCUCAGUCACAAGGCCACAAGCACCCCGCAGGCAAAGGCAGGCACUGAAGACCCAGUGCUGACGGACUCCCAGGAGCAGCAGACGAAUGAGCUCUCGCCGCUCACCGAUGGCUGUCGGAGAGGUAGGAGAAUGAAGGCAAUUAGUCCCUUUAAUGCCGAUUUCAGACUAAUCUUUCACACUUAAGAAAAUUGUUCCAAUGAUUUUCUUAUUUUCAGGGGAGCUCGUUAAGUAAGAAUUAGAAAAAUAGAUACGGGAGGGGAGAUAAGAAAAUGGAUUCUGUAAUGACAAGCUGCCUAAACAUGCUGUGAGAGGGAUAGCUGGGACAGGAGAUUGUGAUGGAUACGGGUCCUGCUUGCUGUGUGACCGGCAGUGUUCCAAGACCCCAGGGGAGGGCAAAGAUCCCGAGGAUGGGGAUGUAGGUCUGGUAGCCUCUGCUGGGGAUAUUUUGGGGACUCCGGUUGUGGGUGUCAUGUUUCACACCUCUCAGCUUCCGUGCUCAAACUCGGCCAGGAGCAGAGGUGCCCGGAAAGGCCAGUUCUCACCAUCUACACAGCCAAGUCAUUUGGAGCUUAAUACAGGGAAUUCUGGCUGGGGCACCUACUGAGCCCUCUGGGAAGCUUUAAGAGUGCCUUCUGUAUACACGAGUGCCUUCUGUAUACACUUUGUAAUACUGGGCCUCUCCAUCCAUCAGAGCCACCGGCUCCUCUUGGGGUGUGGCUACCUGGUUUGUGAAAAUGCAAGUGUAGACACAAAGCCAACCUCCAGCCAGCUCCCAUUGGCUGUUUCACAUGUCAUCUGUUUCCACUGGUGGAUGCCUCUGCUGGAGUGGCUGCUAAGAGUCUUGGAUGGUACACUUGGUUGUGUGACUUGUCAAAGCCACAGGAUCGGAUGCGAAAACUGGAAGCUAUGCUUUCUAUCUCUCUGCCACCUCUGUGUAGUGCGUCUUGUGAGAGGAGCAUCUCAGGAGAGAAGGAGGGCCUACUAGGCAGGCAUCCACCUCGGGUUGGUGCAGGCCAUUCUCUCCAUCUCCUUACUCUGCUCUGUUACCGUCUUCCUACCUUUGCCUGGAUUUUACCUUCUUCCACCUGAGCACACUACCAGUCCUGAUCACGCCUAGCUUUCUCAUGUCUUCAGCUUUCUCAUUCCCCUCAGAACCUAGGAAGGACCCUGGGUCUCCGUGUGUAGCAGCAGUGCAUUCUGGGAAGCUCAUCUCUGUGUGCCCCCUGACUGCCCUGUCUGUGGAGCAGGUCAGUGACAUUUACAGAAAUGCCUGAUGUUUGGUUCUGACAAACAGGAAGUUCUCCCUAGAGGUGAGAGGGGAUGUGACAUUCUUCUCCGGUCACUGAAGAGGUGAUACAUUCAAGUCAGUGGCCAUAGCUCCAACUACAAUGUAAACCUCUGUGGGGGGGGGCGGGAGGGGGGCAGAGCUAUUCUGACUUCAGUGGUCCUCAGCCAUGGAGGAUCUCAGAUCAUCUGCUAUAUCUCGAGACAGCUCCUCCAGUCCUGCCCAGGAAGCUGCUGCUGUCCAUCAGAAAGAGGCUAGAGAUGCUGCUCAAUACCUAAAAGCAUACAGAAAGCCCCCAACACAUAACUGUCCAGUGUAGUACAUCAGCAGGACCAAGUUUGAGAAGGCCUGCCCUGGAGGAAUCGGAUCCACUGUCCCCUUACAGCUGGGGAUAAGGACUGGAUCUCCUGGGAUAAAGGGCAGGUUGGGCUGUGGUCUUCCAAGGCAGGAUCCAGAUCUGAUGUCUUUUUGUAUCCCCAGCCAAUGAACAUGAACCAGUUCUUGCUGAGUGUGAGUAUCUUGAAGCCUCACUGGCUGGACAGCGCAUCUUCCAUCUCCACAGAACAGAGAUGGCCUUAGGCUGGCGGACCUGAGACACAUCUCUUCUUUCUGAGCCUAAGUUUCCAGUCUAUAAAAUGAGCAUGACACUAUCUCUAACCCAGCCAAGUCUCUAGUCAUUUCAGCAUCAGAUACAGUUGCUGGCUCUGCUUGCUCCAGAAAGCCCCAUGGCUCCCAAGGCGCGGAGCCAAGUCUCUACUCAUCCCUCCGCUCUGGAAGCCCUUGGCUCUCAUCCUGUCUAUGGCUCAGGCCUCUUGCUGGCAUUCCGACACCAGGAGCUCAGCGUCGUUUAAACCGCUAUUUAGAUACUCAUUCACUCAGUAGCCGCUUUAGUCAACAGACGUCCACUGAGUCCUCUGAGGGACCUGGGAGGAGGCGGUGCACAGAAGGCUGAAUCCUUAAGACACAAUCAAAAUGUUAUAGGCAGAAGUGGGGAAGAACUCCAAGAUGACUUCUUCACUGAUUCCCAAGAGAGGAAAAGUCGCUGUCUGGAGGACUGAAGACCAUGCCCUCAGCUGUCAUGGCUGCCGGCCUCUGAGCCCUUACAGUGCUGUUUCCCCUUCUAAAAUACCCUUCCAGGAGCUGGUGAGAUGACUCAGUGGUUAAGAGCACUGAGUGUCCUUCCAGAGGUCCUGAGUUCAAUUCCCAGCAACCACAUGGUAGUUCACAACCAUCUGUAAUGGGAUCUGACACCUUCUUCUGGUGUGUCUGAAGACAUUGACAGUGUACUCACAUACAUAAAAUAAAUCCUUUUUUUAAAAAAAA